ensembl:lncRNA
CUCUAUAGGCCUUCAGCAACUUCAUCCUGAUAGGAGGGUACCAAAUCCUAACAACAAACACUGUAGCACUGUAUGCCUGGCAGACUUCUAGGCACUUUAUUAACUCCUAACAUUCUCAAAACAAUCCUGUGGGAGUUCCCCGUUGUGUCUCAGCCCUACGAACCCAGCUAGUAUCCAUAAGGGUGUGGGUUCGAUCCCUGGCCCUGCUCUGGGGGUUAAGGAUUCUGCAUUGCUAUUGGCUGUGGUGUAGGCCAACGGCUGCAGGUCUGAUAGGAGCCCUAGCCUGCACCCCUGUACCGUGGGUGUGGCCCUAAAAAGACAAAAAAAAAAAAAAUCAAAACAACCCUGUGAGCUAGACACUAUUCUUGGCAUGUUUUACAGAUGAGGACGCUGAGGCCAGAACUGUGAAGUGGCUUGGCGGCACAGUUUGGGCCAGGACCAGGAUUGCAGCCACGGGAGGGAGGGAGGAAGGGAGGGCUGCGCUGCCUCUCCAGUGUUGUGUAGGGAAGGCGAGCUGUUUGGGGGGUGUUGGACCCCCACCUUCCAAAACGUUAUGGGAAAAGAUGAGAAACCCAACAUUUAGCCCUUAUUUUGCAAAGGAAAGUUCCGGAGCGUCGUACAGAAGCACGUUAUUGUGGCUCCGCGGCCGCGAAGGGGCCAGGGAAGGCAGUGCAAAGGCCUCCCGCCCCACCUCGCCACAUAGCAUCCGGUGGUCACGUCCGCCGGAGGUGACUGGGGCCUGGGGACAGCCGAUUGCGGAGGAACUCCUUAUCGUCGAGAGUCAGUGGUCCCGAGAAGCGAGGCUAAAACGACCGCCUGCCGGGGUGGCUGGGUCAAGCCGGGUGCCUAGGCUCCGGGCGCGCCCCCGGCCUCCUCCCACGGAGGAGCUGCGCCUCCUGCAGCUCCGGGCUCCCCUCCACUCGGGCUGCCAGCCCUGGGCACGGAACCUCACGGCCGGGGGCUGGAGAGGCCAGAUAAGCAAGUCCUGAUUGGGAGGGCUGGUUCCGGGUUGUUCGCACUCACCCUGCUGCUUCCCUCAAACACUCAUCCCUUCUCCCCCCGCCCCCCGCGCGCGCGCGCACACACACACGCACACGCACAUACACAGAGGGUCUCAAGCGCGCAGCCAGCUUCCCGGGCCUCUGUCUCCCCUUCCUCCUCAGUCUCCCCUUCCUCCUCCCAGGCUCUGGUGCCUGGGAACCCGUGGCGGUCGUGUGCUGCCCCUGGGAAGUGUCGAGGUGGAACGGCUGCGCGUUGUUCUGCUUCUCCCCAGGGUCCAGGCAUACGGUGGUGCCCUGGGGCGUGCAGCCAGGAUCCAAGGAUCCCCCACUGCCCCCCUCCCCGGGAGGUGGUGGCAGCAGGCGGGAGAGACCUGUGAGCUAGGUGUUUCAUGAUGGCCUGGGGGUCAGAGGGGAGGACCGGAGAGUGGGGCCUAUGCCUAGAUGGGAGUGGCGAUAAAUCCCCUGUGCACGAAGGCCGGCUGGUUCUCCGGCCACCCCGCUGGUAGGAGUCUAUCCUGCAUGUCUUGUAUUGGCUGAAGCUUGACAGCGGGAGUGCCCGGGCCAGAGUGUGGCUGGGGGGGGGGGGGGUUGGUCCGAGGCGGCGCUGGACGAUCAGCUCCCCAUCUCACCUCCUCCAGCCUUUACUUCUCACUCGAGAAGACCCAUGGGCCCCGCUGCCCUCGCCACCGCCAAGGCCCGCAGAGGGCCAGGCUGGCCUGGUGGCAGCCCGCGAGCCCAGCCUGGCCGCUGAGCUGAGGGAGGGAGCGCAGCAGCCGGCUUGCCUCAAGGCAGAACACACGCCUUUCCCGGAACCUUGAAACCCAGGGGAGCCGCUGCCAUCUUCGCGUGACGAGCAGCGAGACGCCGGUGAUUAAGUGUUUCUUUCCGGCUCCCUCCCCGGGUUAUGGCUCUCCUCCUUUCCACAGGGCUGGAGGAAUAAAACCUGGGGUGGGGGGAGCACACCACAGUGCUUUCCAAGCUCCUUGGAUGCCCGAACUGGUCUCCCAGGGUGCCUCUAUGCAGACUGCCCUCCAGCCCCAAACACCCUGCCUCGAGAAGAUCGAGGCUUUGGGGGACUCCCCCCCAUGCCUCAGUUUCCAUCCACCUCGGUCCAGAUCUCAGAGUUUAAUGGGGGGAGCACACAUUGCCAAAGCCAGCUGACCCCCGUCUCCUCGCCCGUGAGGAUUAACCCUUAAUACAGGAAUCCCCCACCCACACCAGGGACUAAUCCUGCCGCCCCUCCUGGGAUUAACUGGGCUCACAGGUCCAUAAAACACUUCCGGCGCAGCCAGAGGGUCUGUCUGCAGAAACACUUUAAAAUUGUCCUCCCGGGCCUAGAGUGGAGGGAAGUGAGUAAACAGACAGUUGUUGGAGAGGAUCCGUGCGGUUUGCAGGCUGUGGAAAGAGCUGCCUAAAAUGUGGGCGGUCGGGGCUGCUUCAGCCCCGGAGGGGGACUGGGGUCCCAGUAGAUCCAUCUCAGCAAAGGAUGCAGCAUUUACGAAAUGGCAUUGAUCUGGAGAAGGGUGGACCCAGGCAGGAGGCGGCAGGUUUCAGCUGGCUUCUGGCCCCGAGGAAGACAAGAUUCCUGAAACUUGUUGAGGAGUCGGGGUGGGGGUGUGAGUCUCCUCAUCCGUAAAUGGGAGCAGCCACACUCACCCUGCCCCUCUCAGGUGGGAUUCUGAGAACCAAAGUCUUCAAGCCCUUUGUAAAUGGGGCAUGACCCCCUUGGAGUCACUGUGACUACUGUUCAAUCUCGCUCACCUUAGGAAACACCGUGAUUUGCUGAUUAAAAAAAAAAAAGUGAAAACCAGCCUUUCCUCAGAUCCAUCCAGGAAUGUACAGAUAAAGGGACUCCAAAAGCAAUUUAAGGCUUUGAACAUCCUUCUUUUUACAUCACUGGAAAUUCAGUUUUGGAGGGAAUGGGAGAGUCUUUAGAAUGUUCUAAGAAAAAAAUCCCUGUCAAAAGUGGGGGCUAAAU